GCCACCUCCCCCGCACGCCCCCUCGGCCGCUCCCCUCCCCCACCUCGCAGCGUCCCGUCACCUCCCUCUCUCGAGGUGCUCGCGCUGGACGUCGCCGCCGCCUCCCCCUUCAAUUUCCUUCCCCGAGCCCUCCGCGGCCCCGCCCGGCCCCGCCCCGUCCCGCUCGCCUCCCCCUCCCCACUCCGCCGCCCCGCCGCCUCACUCUCGGCUCAGGCUCGGCGCCGCCAUGUUGGAUCCAUCCGCGCCGCCCUCCCGGCCCGUCGCGCGCCGCCGCAUCCGGGCUCCGGCCGCCGCCGCCGCCGCCGCCGCCGCCGCCGCCGCCGCGGGCGUGGGGGAGGGGGCGGCCUCGUCCUGAGCAGCGCCUCCCGGAACCUGGCCGGUUAGCGGCGGCUUCGAGGCCAUAGCGAGGCAUGAGCCGGGGUGGCCAUGCUGGGUGAGGGCAGCCUGGCAGCGGCAUGAGCCGGGGCGUGGAUAGCUUCACUUGGGGACGCGACGCUAGAGGCUGGCAGCCAUCUUGCUUUGGGGCAAGCGGGCGCCGCCGGUUCUUCCCGGCGGGGGCGGCGGCGGUGGCGGCUCGGGGGCCGCGGGGGGAGGGAGUGAGGGUGGCGGUCUCGGGUGCGGGAGCACUGGGGGCGCCAGAGCUGGCUGCCGUCGGCCUCGACACCCAUCGAGAGACUGGGACUAGCGGCCAUGACUCAUGAGGGCGGAAUAUUGCCAGGGUCGCGCCGCCCGGCGAACUCCGGGGAAGGUUCACGGAGGUCGGGCUUUGACCUUUGCCCCGAGCUUCCGGUCAACCCGGACGUGCCGUAAACCGCGGUCGGGGCGGAAAGCGCUGCCCGGGGGCUCCUCGGCUUUCGUCCUGGGAGCACCCGCUUCCCAAAGGGAGCGUCGCCGGAGCCGAGUCGGGGGCGUCGGGGACGUUCUGGAGCUGCCGGCGGCCCGUGGCGUAGAGGAGAGGCCGCGAGCGGGGCCCGUGGGAACGCCAGGCCCAGAGGAGCUUGCUGCCUGGGCGCUGGCCGAGGGGCGGCCGCGUGCUGGGGGCGGUGCGCGCGUGUGGCCCGGGCGGCCGCAGCCUGGACGCGGGGAAGACGCCCGAGAACUAGGGGAGCGCCUGGAGCUCGAGACGGAGGCAGAGGGCGGCCCAAGGGGCCCCGAGAAGGGACAUCCCGGAGCCGAGCAUCCGUGGAACUGAUCCAGGCGUUAAAGGAGCUACCUUUUCCUAAGACGACUGACAAUGUGACUUUCAGCUACUUUCAAGGGCUCUCCUGUAUACCCAACUGUACUACUCCAUCAAAAUAAUAGUCUGGCAUCAGUCAUUUUGUAGAAUUGAGUUAUCCAAUCAAUCCUGUUCAAUUCCUCUUUAUAACUGUUUUAGGAUAAUUUCCAUGAGAGCAAGGACUCUGUCUGCCUUGUGCACUACUGUAUUCCUAAUGCUUGGAUGUAGUGGAGAUUCCAUAAACAUUUGCUCAUGAAUGAGUUCUUCCUUUGAAAAAAUAAGUUCGUGGGUGCCUGGGUUGCUCAGUCAGUUCUUUCAGCUCAGGUCAUGAUCUCUCUCCAUGAUCUGCUGCUCCCUCUCCAUCUGCCCCUCCUCCUCCUCCUCCUCUCUCUCUCUCAAUUUUAUUUACUUGAGAGAGAGAGAGCAGGGGCAGCAGAGGGUGGGGGUGGGGGAGAAGCAGACUCUCCCCUGAGUAGGGAGCCUGAUGCAGGGCUCCAUAUCGUGACCUGAGCUGAAGCCAGAUGCUUAAGUGACUGAGCCACCCAGGCACUCCUAAAUAAAUACAAUUUUAAUUUUAAAAAAAGAAAAAAG
rnacentral:lncRNA from 1 species